GGGAGUCCCGUUGAGCAGCACCUCCAGCUCGUCCUCCGAGCUGCAACAGGAGUGGGUUUAUUUAUUUAAAACUGGGUUUUAUUCUUUAAUAUUUAUAGUUUACGUUAAACUCAACUUCUGCUGUUGGCUGACUAACACAAGGGUCACCUUCCUGUUUGAUGCUGACAGGUGACGAGGUGAACUUCGUCCUGUGCUCCUGAGACGUGUUAAUAAAUGAACUAAGCUGUUAAUACGACUCCCACCGGUUCCACCUGCUGACCUGUGAGACUGCUGCUGUCACAGCAAACCUCCACCAGGUGGCGCCAACAGACCAGAGAUCUCAGAGGUUCAAAGAGGUUUCUGUCGCACCAUCCAAUGAAGUUCUGGAUCAGGUGUCUGUAGUCCUCCUCCCUAUCGUCUGUGAUACAGCCGACAGUGGACGAGUCCUGGAGGACAACGUCUGUAACGAUCCCGAGUUGAAGCAGAAGUCUGAGGAGUGGAGGAGGAACAGGAGGUCUGUCAGUGCUGCAGUCUGUGAUCGAGAGAUGUGGAUCGUAUUAACCGUAUUAAUAUAAAUAUAAAUAAUAUGUAUUUUAUAUAUAUAUAAAUACUUUAUCACUGACUGUGUUAACUUCACUGUACAGUUUGAAUAUGAAAUAUCAAUAAAAUGUGUCAAUGAGUCCGUUUAAUAAAUGAUAGAAAAGGUUGGGAACCACUGCACACAGUAAUACU